AUUGAACGCUGGCGGCAGGCCUAACACAUGCAAGUCGAACGGUAACAGGAAGCACCUUUCUGCUUCGCUGACGCGUGGCGGACGUGAGUGUAAUGUCGGGGAAGCUCCCUGAUGGAGUGGGCUACCUACUGGAAACGGUAGCAAAUACCGCUUAAUGUUGCAAACCCAAAGAUUAGGACCUUCAGGCCCCUUUCCAUCGGUUGUGGCCAGAUGGGAUUAGCUUGUUGUUGGGGUAACGGCUCACGAAGACGACGUCCACUAUCCGGUCUGAGAGGAUGACCAGCCACACUGGAACUGAGACACGGUCAAGACUCCUACGGGAGCCAGAGGUGGGGAAUAUUGCACAAUGGGCGCAAGCCUGAUGCAGCAAGGCCGCGUGGAUGAAGAAGGUCUUCGGGUUGUAAAGUACUUUCAGCGGGGAGGAAGGGAGUAAAGUUAAUAGCUUCGCCCAUUGACGUUACCCGCAGAAGAAGCAACGGCUAACUCCGUG
rnacentral:rRNA from 1 species